AAUCCUACGGGGGGCAGCAGUGGGGGAUAUUGGACAAUGGGGGGAACCCUGAUCCAGCGACGCCGCGUGAGUGGAGAAGUAUUUCAGUAUGUAAAGCUCUGUCAGCAGGGAAGAAAGAAAUGACGGUACCUGACCAAGAAGCCCAGGCUAACUACGUGCCAGCAGCCGCGGUAAUACGUAGGGGGCAAGCGUUAUCCGGAAUUACUGGGUGUAAAGGGAGCGUAGACGGUUAAGUACGUCUGGAGUGAAAGGCCGGGGCCCAACCCCGGGACUGCUCUGGAAACGUUU
rnacentral:rRNA from 1 species